UACUCCUACGGGAGGCAGCAGUGGGGAAUAUUGCACAAUGGGGGAAACCCUGAUGCAGCAACGCCGCGUGAGUGAAGAAGGUCUUCGGAUCGUAAAGCUCUGUCUUUGGGGACGAUAAUGACGGUACCCAAGGAGGAAGCCACGGCUAACUACGUGCCAGCAGCCGCGGUAAUA
rnacentral:rRNA from 1 species